GACGAACGCUGGCGGCGCGCUUAACACAUGCAAGUCGAACGGUGACCCGGGCUUCGGCCCGGGGAUCAGUGGCGAACGGGUGCGUAACACGUGGGCAACCUGCCCCUCACUCUGGGAUAAGCCCGGGAAACCGGAGCUAAUACCGGACAUGACCGCUGACCGCAUGGUCUGGUGGUGGAAACACUUAUCGGCUGGGGAAUGGCCCGCGGCCUAUCAGCGUGUUGGUGGGGUAGUGGCCUACCAAGGCGACGACUGGUAGCCGGCCUGGGAGGGUGACCGGCCACACUGGGACUGGGACACGGCCCAGACUCCUACGGGAGGCAGCAGUGGGGAAUAUUGCGCAAUGGGCGGAAGCCUGACGCAGCGACGCCGCGUGGGGGAUGACGGCCUUCGGGUUGUAAACCUCUUUCAGCAGGGACGAAGCGCAAGUGACGGUACCUGCAGAAGAAGCACCGGCCAACUACGUGCCAGCCGCCGCCGUAACAC
rnacentral:rRNA from 1 species